UGCGGCUGAGACCCUGGCCACGGCCACGCGCCCCGCGCAAGCGCCCAACUGCGGCGCCGAGGUGGGGGGCGGGGCAAGCAAACCCGCGAGCCGGCCGGCCCGAGUGGGGAGCCUGGGCCGGCCCGGUGCGCGCGCCGCAAGGCCGGCGAGGGCGCCCUGAGGACGAGCGUGAGGCGGCGCGCGCUGUCCGGGCCGCCGCGAGCGCGAGAAGGGGCGUGAGCGAGCGCGGGCCGGCGGCGCGCUCCAGGCGCAGACUGCCCAGAACGCGCGCCGAGCGCUAGCGCGGGGCCGACAGCCACCUAGGGGCGAGAAGCUCCGGGCCCGGUUGCCGGCCCGCGCGCUUCUAGCUCACCUGCCGCCUGGCCAGAGAGGGGUGGACUGUAUGGCAAGGUGAAGUGGCGAGGCCGCGAGUCGCCUCCGUGAAGCUCUAGGCUUGCGGGGCACAGGCAGAGGGAAAGUUCAAAAUUGGGCUGCUGUGAUGGAUUGAUGAGACAGGAGACUGUCACGGCCGAGCGGAGGAGCCGGCAGAAAGGUGGUAGGAAGACGAAAAAUUCGGAGGACAACCACAAUCCCAGUCACGGCUGCCCCUAGAGAGUUCAAGAUCCACCUCCCUUUACCGACAAUCUACAUGAUUCCAGGAGCAGAGCACCCACCGCCAGGUUCCCACAACAGGACUGACUCCAGACUCCAGCUGAUUGGUACAGGGUAGGUAGUGGCAUGAUUCACAUCCUAUUCUACAAAAUGUUGUGCUCCAUGGGUGCAUUUUGAAUAGAAAACAGGAUGAAUGGCAACCUCUAGAGUUGUCCAACUUAAUUGAACUCAGCACUUGACUGAAGUAGGCUACUCAUAGUCUUUCCUCAAGAUUCUGGAAUUAAAUCUAGGAGAUCCCUACUUCAGUCUUCUGUCCUCUUUUGUUUUUAAUUUUUUUA